CUCAGGUUUUGGAUAGCUCAGUUGGUUAGAGCAUGGUGCUGAUAUAAUGCCUUGGUGGCUGGUUUGACCCCUGCAUUACAGAGG